AUCAUCAUACCAUCCGAGCCGGAUCGCACCGUGAGAAGUGAAUCUUUUCGGGAAAUAAACCCAGUAAUUUAAAAAAAAAUGGACAUUCCUGUUAUUGAUAUGUUCACAGAAGAGGAAUACCUUGAAUCAUCAGGCUCUGACGAAUGUGACAUUAGACAACACCAGCCCUACGUUAAAAGGGCUAAACAUUUGGAAAAGGUGGUUGAACAUGAUACUGCAUUUAUUAACGUGCUUGAAGAGUUUCCAGUUAUUUUAGAAAAUCACAAAUUCCUAUGAUGAAGGCUAAAAAGUCCGCCGCUAUCAAAAAAUUUGCAAACAAACUUCUUAUUGAAUAUGGUAUUGAUUAUACGGAAAAGCAGAUUACAAAAAAAAAUACACAAUUUGAAGAACCGCGUCAAGUCUGAAACAGAUAUGAAGCAGACAGGAAAUCGACAAAUAAUACUCAGUAAAACAGAAAAAAAAUUCUUUGAAGUGAUGGGUGGGAGAGAAAAUCCAUCAAUUACGGAAAGAACGUGUUGGUUAUUAAAAGGUUACGAGUUAUAAAUAAUAAAAAUAUUUUAUAAUCUUUCUAGUUGGUAUUUCUGUUGGCGAGCCAGAACUAUCUGUCGCUGAAUUAUAUUCACAUGAACCCAUGGAAGAUUGCAUUGCUGGUCCGAGUCAUACACGCACUAAACCGUCUGCAAAGUUUAAUUUGCAGAAAAAAACCAACGAAUUAAAAGAGCUGCAAAGAACGGUUCUUCAAGAGCAACUGAAUCUCAUUCACGCACAGGACCAACUAUUAAAGCAACAGCAAGAGCUAAGCAUUGAGCAGCGAAAUGAAAAGCACACGGAAGAAAUGAAGUUAAUGAAAUUGAAACAAGAGAUUGCAAUGUUAAAGUUAAAAAUUCUUAAAAUAGAUAACGACUAGGAUGUAAUGUAAUGAUUUUUUAUAUUAAACGAUAAUAUUUUCAUGAGCAAAUUAACAAAAAGUAGGAGGGUGGUAUUCAAGACACGACCGCAUGACGUUGGACUACGGUAUUCUUAUAUUCCAUUAAAACAAAUAAUAGAGAGAAUUGCAACUCUAGUAUUUGCUGCAAUUUUAUCUAACAGUGCAUUUCUGGAUGCUGAGACGUUAAAACGUUAUAAAUAAUAAUAUAUACUAAAAGAAUG